UACGUAGGGUGCGAGCGUUGUCCGGAAUUAUUGGGCGUAAAGAGCUUGUAGGCGGUUUGUCGCGUCUGCUGUGAAAAUCCGGGGCUCAACCCCGGACUUGCAGUGGGUACGGGCAGACUAGAGUGUGGUAGGGGAGACUGGAAUUCCUGGUGUAGCGGUGAAAUGCGCAGAUAUCAGGAGGAACACCGAUGGCGAAGGCAGGUCUCUGAGCCACUACUGACGCUGAGAAGCGAAAGCAUGGGAGCGAACAGG
rnacentral:rRNA from 1 species